UUAUGAGGAAAGGCUGAGGAAGGUGGACCUGUUCAGCCUUGAGAAGGGACGACUGAGAGGGGACCUCAUCAAUGGCUAUAAGUAUCUGAAGGAGGGAGGAUGCUAAGAGGAUGAAGGCAGGCUCUUCUCAGUGGUGUCAAGCAAUAGGACAAGAGGCAAUGGGCAGAAACUGAUUCGCAGGAAGUUCCACAGGAAGUGGAUAUGAGGAAGAACUUCUUUACUGUGCAGGUGACCGUGCACUGGAAGAGAUUGCCUAGAGAGGCUGUGGGGUCUCCCUUGCUGGAGAUAUUCAAGCGCCAUCAGGACACAAUCCUUUGCUAUGUGCUCUGGGAUGACCCUGCUUGAGCAGGGAGGCUGGACCAGAUGACCCACUGUGGUCCCUUCCAACCUGACCCAUUCUGUGAUUCCGAGAUUCUGUUGAUGGUGAUCAAAGACAGGCCAUCUUACUCCUGGCUAAAGAAGAGAGAAGGGUUAAUUCUGUAACAUCCCGUAGUAACUGGAGAUGGUUGCCCUAGAGGAUCUCCACUUGAAGUGACAGUGGCCAGAGGCUCUCAGCUCUGAAGAAUGUGUAUUAUCAGAGGCUGCUGCCAACAAAAGUUCAUGCACAAUGGGCCCAUCAGCUAAUGAACCCAGAAUGAAUCUUCUCCCAGAUUUUGAGGACAAACAAGCGAUUGUGUGCAGUGCCGACUACACCAAUUUACUGCCAUGUGAAACACAUUUGGAUGAUUUCUGACUUGCAAAAUUCACUGUGGUCUGAGGCGAAUUUACACAUACUGAGGUACUUUCUUACACCCUCAGCUUGCCCCACAUUCACUCAAUAAAUUCUUACUGCUUUAAAGAUGAA